rnacentral:rRNA from 1 species
UACGGAGGGGGCAAGCGUUAUCCGGAUUCACUGGGUUUAAAGGGUGCGUAGGUGGGUAGGUAAGUCAGCGGUGAAAUCCCCGAGCUUAACUUGGGAACUGCCAUUGAUACUAUCUGUCUUGAAUACCUUGGAGGUGAGCGGAAUAUGUCAUGUAGCGGUGAAAUGCUUAGAUAUGACAUAGAACACCAAUUGCGAAGGCAGCUCACUACACGGUCAUUGACACUGAGGCACGAAAGCGUGGGGAGCAAACAGG